UCUUUCGGUUCUUCAAUAUUCUGGGUACAACUUUGUGUAAUUGGGAUUUACGUUUCUAUUUGGCUGAAUUGGCGGCUCAAGGAAUAUGGAUAGGUUUGCUUUGUUAUUAAGGGACGAUGGAAAUGGAUGUGUACCAUUGGUGUGACAUCCGAUUCAUUGUGUUAAUCUCUGAGGAUUUAAGAUUCUAGCAUUCUUGCUCAAUCAAUUUGGAGGCAAAGUACCUGGCUCAAUUCCCGAGAUUAAGAAUUUUGUGUGUACAAGAUUCAAAGCUGAGUACCCCAUUUUUUAGAGUGAUACGUUAGUGAAAUCACCAACUUAGUGAAAUCACCAACUUAGAGAACCAUACUUUCCUAUUUACUAACACCAUGACCGCUACUGCUACUGACUGCAACAACUGGACAUGAAUGGUCCAAAUACAGACAUAGUUUACAGUUCCUCAAGUUCAGUGCUGGGGGGUUUUUGGUGACUUGGUCAACUGGAAUUAUGAGAAGUUUUUGGUGGACAAAAAGGGCAAGGUUGUAGAGUGAUACACACCUACAACAUCUCUCUCGGGAUUAAGGUCUGUGAUGCGGAAAUACAAUCUUGAGCAGGUACAUGUUUUUUUAUUGUUUCAAGAAAUCAAGAAAUCUUGUGCGGAAAUACAAUCUUGAGUAGGUACGUGUCUUUUUAUUGUUUUUCAUCGAAUUUUGAUUUAUAUAUGGUGAUCCUAGUUUAAUGAUGUUACUCAUGUUGCUACAUAGUGGACAUGAUUAAUUGUCAGACAAAUUAACUUAUCUUAAAAGUGCUGUAUGGAAGCCUGAUCUUAGGAGCAACCCCUUAAUUGUUUAAUCAGUUUGAUAAACAGAAAAGCAAUUACAUUUUGCUGGUUGUAAAUAGGCUCGAUGAGAAUGUCUGUUUGAUUUUUAAGAUACUUGGUUGUUGGUACUUCCAAUAGGAUGAUUUUGAGUUAUCAGUCAGAUUCUAGUGUCCGAGUAGGGAGAUUAGUGAUGAGGUUUUCCUCCUAGCACAACCUGAUCUUUUGUUAACUAAGAAAGCUAGAAUUGAUUAAGGAAUGUGUCUUAACACUUAUUUAUCUCGAGGCUGCCUUAAAAUAUGCAUGUAUUCAUUGUUACAGCAGUGCUUACAUUUUAUACAAGAACAUGCUCAUUUUUUCUGAAUGCUCUUCUCUUUUAAGAAUCCUACAUAUAGGUCCUUCCCGCUUAAGUCACUCGAUGAGAGUCUUUGGUUUUGACCACCUUUAGACAUGCUCUUUACAAACUCUACCAAAUGCCUCCAAUUAUCUCCUUCAAACAACCUUUUGUUCAUCCUUAAAUAUAUAUGUAAAAGCACUCAAUUCACUUCGUGAGUGUGACUUGCUGGUUGCUAAAACCUGCCCAAACGCACUUGCAUCAUAUCUCUCCAAAGCAUUUUCUCCAGCAAGUUCGAUCUCUUGUAUUGUAAUAUCCUGCUGUUAGAUACGUGAUGGAAAAACGAGAUCGCUACAGGAAUAUGGCUUUGGUACCGAACAAGCUUACAGUUGCAUCAGGCUUGAGGAUCAGGUCAAAAGAAACUCCAAUUUUGGCAAAUCAGUUAAUGUAAAAGGCUGAUCACAAGUCAUUUACCAUUAUGGAAUUCCUUUUAAUACUGCACUUAC